rnacentral:lncRNA from 1 species
GACUUUUAGUGUCUCAGCCUCUCUUAAGGGGUGUUGGGAGGGAAACAUAGAUUCGACGCGUUCCUAAUACUUGGAUUCGUACAGUUGCCUUUUCCUAGCUAGUUACCUGUACAUCCUACAAUAGUAGGCAGCAAGAGAAACUUGUGCUUAAGGCAGUCGAAUUUCGCGUCUGCAUACGGGGUUUGGGCAUGUAACCUCCCAACUUUGGGGAUUGACCAGAGUCUGAAGAACACUGGGACGUUUAAAAACCCUUUCUUCAGGCCCUUGAAAAGGACUGGUUUAAUAUGGGGACUGUUCUGGAUGGCAGAUUAGCUUUGUGCUCUUUG